rnacentral:rRNA from 1 species
UACGAAGGGGGCUAGCGUUGCUCGGAAUCACUGGGCGUAAAGGGCGCGUAGGCGGCUGAUUUAGUCGAGGGUGAAAGCCCGUGGCUCAACCACGGAAUGGCCUUCGAUACUGGUUGGCUUGAGACCGGAAGAGGACAGCGGAACUGCGAGUGUAGAGGUGAAAUUCGUAGAUAUUCGCAAGAACACCAGUGGCGAAGGCGGCUGUCUGGUCCGGUUCUGACGCUGAAGCGCGAAAGCGUGGGGAGCAAACAGG